rnacentral:misc_RNA from 1 species
UCUCCGUAGGUGAACCUGCGGAGGGAUCAUUACAGAGUUCAUGCCCUACCGGGUAGAUCUCCCACCCUAUGUUAUUAUUACUUUGUUGCUUUGGCGGGCCGUUAGGCUCCGGCCCGACUACCGGCCCCGGCUGGUAAGCGCCCGCCAGAGGACCCAAAACCCUGAAUAUUAGUGUCGUCUGAGUACUAUAUAGUAGUUAAAACUUUCAACAACGGAUCUCUUGGCUCUG